GACGAACGCUGGCGGCGUGCUUAACACAUGCAAGUCGAGCGGUAAGGCCCUUUCGGGGGUACACGAGCGGCGAACGGGUGAGUAACACGUGGGUGACCUGCCCUCAGCUCUGGGAUAAGCCUGGGAAACCGGGUCUAAUACUGGAUAUGACUCCAUGACGCAUGUUGUGGGGUGGAAAGCCUUGUGCGGCUGAGGAUGGGCCCGCGGCCUAUCAGCUUGUUGGUGGGGUGAUGGCCUACCAAGGCGACGACGGUAGCCGGCCUGAGAGGGCGACCGGCCACACUGGGACUGAGACACGGCCCAGACUCCUACGGGAGGCAGCAGUGGGGAAUCUUGCGCAAUGGGCGAAAGCCUGACGCAGCGACGCCGCGUGAGGGAUGACGGCCUCGG
rnacentral:rRNA from 1 species